rnacentral:rRNA from 1 species
GGUGCUCGAGUGGCGAACGGGUGAGUAACACGUGAGUAACCUGCCCUUGACUUUGGGAUAACUUCAGGAAACUAGGGCUAAUACCGGAUAGGAGCUCCUGCUGCAUGGUGGGGGUUGGAAAGUUUCGGCGGUUGGGGAUGGACUCGCGGCUUAUCAGCUUGUUGGUGGGGUAGUGGCUUACCAAGGCUUUGACGGGUAGCCGGCCUGAGAGGGUGACCGGCCACACUGGGACUGAGAUACGGCCCAG